UAAUUUUUCUUUUGUAUAAUUUAUUCUCUAGUUUUGCUGGCCCAUUGCGCGCUAUUUACUGAAAUUUCUACAUCAGCAAAUGACAGAGCCCAACUGCUGAAAUACAGUCAGAUAGCUUCAAUCAUGGGAUCUUCUGCCGUAUUUGUUGCCGAUUAUGUGUCAGAUAGUCAAAAUAAUUUUGUCGAUUUUCAAAUACUUUGCGUCAUUGUGGCAAUAAUAAGUUGCGUGGCCAUGUGUUAUGCUGGGCUCAAUGUGAAAGUGGACAAAAAAUAUGAACCAGUUAUGGACGAGAAAGGGGACAAAAAAAAUGGGCCUACAUCAGUGUCUUGGUGGUCACUAACCUUUCAAAUAUGCAUUACAGAAGAAUUUCGGUGAGUAAUUUU